rnacentral:lncRNA from 1 species
CACUCCUUAGUUAAAUCAGACCUACCAUUCAAUGUAAGAAUGAAGCCGUCAUUGGAUCCCUCACCUGAUAGAUAUUGGGCCCAACCCCAUCAUCAUCCUGUAGCAAUCCUUUGCUAAUAGAGUAAUUGCAUGAUUCCAAUACAAUUGAACCACUAUGACUAGUCAAGAACAAUCAACACCAGUAGCACAUCCGUACAUCUACAACGGUGGA